UGCGUAGGCGGGUCUUUAAGUCAGAGGUGAAAUCCUGGAGCUCAACUCCAGAACUGCCUUUGAUACUGAAGAUCUUGAGUUCGGGAGAGGUGAGUGGAACUGCGAGUGUAGAGGUGAAAUUCGUAGAUAUUCGCAAGAACACCAGUGGCGAAGGCGGCUCACUGGCCCGAUACUGACGCUGAGGCACGAAAAGCGUGGGGGAGCAAACA
rnacentral:rRNA from 1 species